UCAUCUCUUCUCCUCUUCACUCCCACGCCUGUGGCCGAAGCUCUCGCCGCCGUCGCAAUUCUUUCAUCAAACAUCCUGCGCAGCCCGUUGCCACUUUGCCCGUCAUUCCGUUCGGCGGCUCUGGAAGAGGACCGGUAUCCCUUUGUGUGGCAUCCGUCCCUCCCCCUACCUACAGUGUCGUCUCUUCUUCGGUAAGCCACAUGGACGACCAAGCUGUGUGGUACCUCACGCAGAGAGAGGAGGCGGCUGAGAUAGACGAGAUCCUCAUGGAACCGCUUGCAUUCAGCGUCGAUCAGUUGAUGGUACGAAACGUCCCGCUUUUUCCUGUUCUCCCUUUCUUUUCAAACCUCCUUUGUUGAGCGUGGCCACAGCGAUAGGAGAGGUUUCAUCAACUGCACAUAAGCUAUGUGCCAAAAAGUUCGAUGGCCCUCAUCACUUUCUUGGUGGUAGAUUUGUUCCCCCAUCCAUUAAUGAGAAGUACAAACUCAAUCUUCCCCAAUACCUUGGCACCUCAAUGUCUAAGAAUUGGGAAACCAUCAUCUAUUGACAUCGCAUACUUAGAGAGAACUAUACAUCUCCUGAGCUUCUCGAGGACCAAUUGCUAGCUGAUCCCAUAGAACAGGUGUGCAUUUUUUGAACUGUGAAGUACAGUUGUUGUAAGAUUCCUUUGGUUGGUCAUUUCUGUCCAUAAAUAUUGAAAGUCUGCUUACUUUUUUCGGAGUUGUCAUAGAUGUUAAAUUUAUUUGACAUGAUGAACCAGCAAUGUAUUGUCUUUCAUUGUCUCACUGAUAUACUACUGUGGCACUGUGAACUAGUUCCAUAAAUGGUUUCAUAAAUCAGUCACUGCUAGUUUUGUUGGUGCAAUCAACCUCUAGGAUUUCAAUGUUUAACAAUCUACGUGUGUCUAGUCAAGUUUGACCGAAGAAUAAUCUAAACAAGACCAGAUGUUCAGAAGUGACUUAAGUGAGAAGUCUAGUGACUAGUAAGGGAAAGUCCAGGUCAAGGAUGACAGAAUUUCUGACAAGUGACAAGUCCAAGCAGAUCAAGGUGACCGGAUGCUUGGUAAGGAAAAGUCCAGGUAGGUAAGGAUGAUCGAAUGUCUAGCAAGUAAUAAAUCCAAGUAGGUCAAGAUGACUAAAUGCUUGGCAAAGACAAAACCCUAAGGGAGUGAACCUUAGGUGGUGAGAAAUCAGAGGGAAAUGAAUUCCAAGUAAGAGAUAAGCUUAGUACGUCAGGUAGGCUUAUAGGAUAAGACUUAGGUAAGCCUAGUAGGUCGGGUAAAUUUACAUGUUUGUGUUUUGUAUAACUAUUUUGCAAAAACCUGGAGCUAGAAGCAAAACAGCGAACAAACAAAUGCAAUCAGGUUGAACCGGACCCAAACCAAUUCGGUUGAUCGAUCCACCAUUUUGGUAGACCAAUUGGGUCCGGUUGACCGAUUUGGGACUGAACUUGGGUUGGUGAUGUGGCUUGGUUCAGUUGAUCGGAAAAUUUUCCAGUUGACCGAUGACAACGAUGAGAUCACAUGGUUUGGUCCAGAUUGUGAUGAACUUGAUUGUGGAGAUUAGGUUUGUCGACUGAAUGAGGCUUAUUGGUCUACCAAUAAAGGCCUAUAAAAGAACUUCAAGAAUCAGAGCUCAAGACAUUAAUUUCUCUACAUUCUAAUCUUUGUCUCAGCUCGGGAAAACUAUCAAUGCUCUGCGACCGGAGAAACGCCAGGAGGAGUGCGUGACACUUAGGACUUCCAGACCAAAUUGGCAAAAUCUGUUUGUAUCUAUUUAAUAUAUGCUUUACUUUUCUGUUUGUGAUUGUGAUACAAACAUUGUAAGAGGUUUAUCCAUCUCCGGAAAAGUUCCGGCCUCGCCUUGGCCUAGGGCUUAGGAACCAAGUAAACCUCAUUGUCUUUCUGUUUGUUAUUGUUUAAUUCCACGGUAAGUAUUUGUCUUAUAGAAACGAACACAUGACGAGACGAUCGAUUAUGACCUUGUCUACUUGUAGUCGGGAAGGAAAACUGUGUACCUUUGAUUGUUUAUAUUUUGUGGAUUUUAGAUUUAUAACUGGGUAACUCAUGUUCUCAUAUCACAAAAAUUAUGUCCUCUGAAGUUCUUCUAGGAUGGUCCUUCUAAAAGGAGCUGACAAGCAUGGUUUUGUGUGGUUAGUUAUCUUUAAGUAACUCUUAAGCUUAUUGAUGACUCAAAAUUCAAUAGAGUUAAUGAAGGCAAUAUUAAUACUUCUUGCUACCUAUUAUGCUACUCAUUUUCUAGUUGCUUAUUCAGGUAUACCAAUUAUGGGAGCUGAAAAUCCCAUGAAUUAUCUGAAAAUCCUCGUGCUUCACUUCUUUUCUAUUGGAAUCAGGUCAUUAGUUUGUUAGGCUGUUGUAUAUGUCUGAUCUGCAGGAGUAAUAAUCUUCUUAAUAUGAUUAUCAUUCAUUUUUGGCAGGGUCAACCUUCUCACUUCAUGAUCGGUAGGUUCGUCUUCAAAUAGGGACGGACCUUAAAAUAUUUUCACAAAUGUGAUUGCUUUGAAGUUUUCUUGGCCUUUUGUUGUAUUUUACAGGCUUCAGUAUUGGCUUGGGAUAGUAAACAGAAAUGAAGUGUGGCAUAUUGAAAGGUUAUUCUCCAUGACUAGAGUUUGUUCGAUUGCCCUCCUUCUAAUAUCAAAAGAAUCAGUCUGUUGUGUCAAGAAAAAGAAAGAUCACCGACCAUAAUUCAGUGUUGAUCAAAUAGGACAUAAUUCCAUCACGUAGAGAUGGUAAAUGAAACUGCCCCUUAAAAAAUGUGGUCCUGUUUAUCAAAUGGCUUAUACUUGUUUCUACUAAUUACAUUGCGUUGCAGAUGAUGUAAGAUACCAUCAAUUUUCCAGUGAUCCUGCUUUUAUGGGCACGAAUUCUCUAAAGCGAGAUUUGUUUGUUAAUAUAGAGAUGAAAUGGGAGUUUUAGUGCCAUAGUAAAAUUGUUGUCCUGUAACUUUGUGAUUAUAAAUUCGAGUCAUGGAAAUAAUCUUACAUCCCUAUGGAUCCAUAUACAACUUGACUGAUCCGGUGGGCUUCUCUUCAAACAUUUUGCAUAUGCUCCCCAUGUCAAAUUCCUAGCUUUCACCCUUUUUCACUUUACAUAAAAAUAAAAAUAAAUAAAUCAAAGUGCAAGAACAAUUUUAUAUAUAAUUUGGCAAAAAGUUAGAGUUGCUCAUGCUGCUUCUGUUUCAUUCAUGCAUGCAUCCGGAACCGAAGCACAUUAGAUGCUCCUGCCAAACCCAUGCUCACAAUAUGAGCAGCAGUCAACAUUCAACACAGGAAUUUAUUCUACUGCAUGGCUUUGAUCAGUCCUGAUGGAUGCAAAGAAAGAAAGAAAGAGUAAAAAAAAAACUAAAGCCAAAUGCUCUACUGGCAGCGAGGAAUCUGAACAUUUUUAUCUUACUUGUGGUGUUCGAGUUCCUGCGAAAAUGCCAAGAUU